CCCUGACGAGCUGCCCCCCGAAGAGCUGCUCCCCAGCGAGCUGCCCCCCGAGGAAGACCCUAAGCCACCAGGUCUCCUUCCUGAGGUGGCUGUGGCAGAGGAAGCACCAGCCCUGGCCCCAGAGGUGCCCCCUGAAGAGGAGAUGGAGAUGGAGCCGGAGCCCUUACUGCCCCCCGAGACGGCACCCCCACCCCCGGCUCCCCCAGAUCUCCGCGCCAUCUCACCUGCCCACCCCCCAGACCCCUUGCCUGACGCCAAGGAGGACAAGGUGCCCGAGCCGCCCACCCCAG